rnacentral:rRNA from 1 species
ACUCAAAGGAAUAGACGGGGGCCCGCACAAGCAGCGGAGCAUGUGGUUUAAUUCGAAGCAACGCGAAGAACCUUACCAAGGCUUGACAUUGCCUGACGUAUGCGGAGACGCAUAUUUUCUACGGAACAGGUAAACAGGUGGUGCAUGGUUGUCGUCAGCUCGUGUCGUGAGAUGUUGGGUUAAGUCCCGCAACGAGCGCAACCCUUGUUGCUAGUUGCCAGCACGUAGUGGUGGGAACUCUAGUGAGACUGCCGGGGACAACUCGGAGGAAGGUGGGGACGACGUCAAAUCAUCAUGCCCCUUAUGUCUUGGGCUACACACGUGCUACAAUGAGCGGUACAAAGGGCAGCGACCCCGCAAGGGCAAGCGAAUCUCAUAAAGCCGCUCCCAGUUCGGAUUGUGGGCUGCAACCCGCCCGCAUGAAGCCGGAGUUGCUAGUAAUCGCGAAUCAGCACGUCGCGGUGAAUGCGUUCCCGGGCCUUGCACACACCGCCCGU